AAUCAACGCUGGCGGCGUGCCUCAGACAUGCAAGUCGAACGAUUAAAGCUCUCUUCGGAGAGUGCAUAGAGUGGCGCACGGGUGAGUAACACGUAAGUAAUCUACCCUCGAGUGGGGAAUAACGUCCGGAAACGGACGCUAAUACCGCAUAAUGCAGCGGCACCGAAAGGUGACAGUUGUUAAAGAUUUAUCGCUUGAGGAGGAGCUUGCGGCAGAUUAGCUAGUUGGUAAGGUAAUGGCUUACCAAGGCUACGAUCUGUAACCGGUCUAAGAGGACGGUCGGUCACACUGACACUGAAUAACGGGUCAGACUCCUACGGGAGGCAGCAGUCGGGAAUUUUGGGCAAUGGGCGAAAGCCUGACCCAGCAACGCCGCGUGAAGGAUGAAGUAUUUCGGUAUGUAAACUUCGAAAGAAUAGGAAGAAUUAAUGACGGUACUAUUUAUAAGGUCCGGCUAACUACGUGCCAGCCGCCGCAGUAACAC
rnacentral:rRNA from 1 species